GAAGAGAAGAGCUGGCGGGCGGACGAUCGAGCGGCGCAGGGUUCACUCCCGAAGCUGGGGGCGGCCUGGAAAGGGUUAACCGCGGCAGCCCCAGCUCCUCUUCGGUGCUCCCCGCAGAGCCUGUUGUGGCCUUUGAGGAGACGCUGCGAAUGCAUCCAGCACCAGCCCCCAAUCUCGCGGCGGCUGUUGUUUGCUGCCUGUGCGGCAGGCGCUGAGCGGAGCGCGGCAGGCUUCUCGCAGGCUGCCUGCGAAGCGGCGUCCGGGAACCGACGGAGGGAGCGAGCGAGCCCGCCACCCUCUGCCCCCGCCCCUCUCCGGGCUCCUCAGGUGCUGCGCUUGGGCUCGCCCUGGAAGCCUUGCAGACAACAGGUUUGUGUCAAGUUGGCGCUGGAGUGUGCAGCUGAUGGCAAAAUUGGCUGGAAUCAGUCCGGGGAAGCAAAGAAAGAAACAGUGAUUCAUGCUUGGAGGGGCUCCAGAUGAGGGAGAAUAACUGCCAUGCGCAACAGGCUUGGAAAUAAAUGGAAAAGUGAGGAAAUGAAGGAACAUAGUAAUUUAAAUCAUACCUCGUAGAAUCAUAGAGUGGUGGACUUGGAAAGGACCUGUAAGGACAUGCAAGUAUAGCUAUUAGAAGAAUAUUUCCUGGAGUUCUGGUAGGUGAUGGACAGUCUUCACACACUUAGUUCUUGUACAUUAAUGGGCUUAAUAUUUUAGAGUGAGAAGAAUGAAAUGCCUUUCUGCAAGAGUUGUGUAUCUGCAAUACACUGUUUGGGCAGCAUAUGCGCCUGAAGUCAUGCUUACACUAAUGCCUUUAGGAAGAGAAUGUGCUUUCUGUUCUUUGCAGGUGUUUGUUCUGCUGGCGUUCAGCUGGGCUAAACUGCAAGUUUAAGAAUCUGCCAUCAAUUAAUAGCCUUAUAUGAUAGUCUCCCUCCCUGUCCCAAACCUGGUGCCUCAUAUAUUUGUUGGACUACAGCUUGCAUCAUUCCAGUGGUAUGACCCUGCGCUGACUGGGGAUACUGGGAGUUGUAGACCAACACAUCUGGUAUGUUCCCAUGUUGAGAAGGCUAUUGAAAAGUUUUAGGAAUAUGGUCCUUCUAAAUAU